rnacentral:rRNA from 1 species
UACGAAGGGGGCUAGCGUUGCUCGGAAUCACUGGGCGUAAAGCGCACGUAGGCGGAUUGCUAAGUCAGGGGUGAAAUCCUGGAGCUCAACUCCAGAACUGCCUUUGAUACUGGCGACCUUGAGUCCGGGAGAGGGAUGCGGAAUUCCAGGUGUAGCGGUGAAAUGCGUAGAUAUCUGGAGGAACACCGGUGGCGAAGGCGGCAUCCUGGACCAACACUGACGCUGAGGAGCGAAAGCCAGGGGAGCAAACGGG